CCCCUAGAUGUUCUGGGCCGCACGCGCGCUACACUGAACAGUUCAACAAGUCUUAACCUUGGCCGAUAGGUCUGGGUAAUCUUUGAACGCUGUUCGUGAUUGGGAUAGACCUUUGCAAUUAUGGGUCUUCAACGAGGAAUUCCUAGUAAACGCAAGUCAUCAGCUUGCAUUGAUUACGUCCCUGCCCUUUGUACACACCGCCCGUCGCACCUACCGAUUGAAUGGUCCGGUGAAAUCUCGGGACGGCGGCUUGGUCGCUUGCGUCCGACUGCUGAAACUUGAUUAAACCACAUCAUUUAGAGGAAGGUGAAGUCGUANCA
rnacentral:rRNA from 1 species